GAUGAAUGCUGGCGGCGUGCCUAACACAUGCAAGUCGAGCGGCAGCGAGGGGUGCUUGCACCCUGUCGGCGAGCGGCGAACGGCUGAGUAACGCGUAGGAAUUUGCCCCAAAGUGAGGAAUAACUGCCCGAAAGGGUAGCUAAUGCCGCAUAUGGUCUUCGGAUUAAAGGAUUUAUCCGCUUUGGGAGAAGCCUGCGUUGGAUUAGGUUGUUGGUAGGGUAAUGGCCUACCAAGCCGACGAUCCAUAGCUGGUCUGAGAGGAUGAUCAGCCAGACUGGAACUGAGACACGGUCCAGACUCCUACGGGAAGCAGCAGUGAGGAAUCUUCCACAAUGGGCGAAAGCCUGAUGGAGCAACGCCGCGUGAAGGAUGAAGGCCUUCGGGUUGUAAACUUCUUUUAUGAGUGAAGAAUAUGACGGUAACUCAUGAAUAAGCACCGGCUAACUACGUG
rnacentral:rRNA from 1 species